GACGAACGCUGGCGGCGUGCUUAACACAUGCAAGUCGAACGGUAAGGCCCUUCGGGGUACACGAGUGGCGAACGGGUGAGUAACACGUGGGUGAUCUGCCCUGCACUUCGGGAUAAGCCUGGGAAACUGGGUCUAAUACCGGAUAGGACCACUGCCUGCAUGGGUGGUGGUGGAAAGCUUUUGCGGUGUGGGAUGGGCCCGCGGCCUAUCAGCUUGUUGGUGGGGUGAUGGCCUACCAAGGCGACGACGGGUAGCCGGCCUGAGGGGGUGACCGGGCACACUGGGCUUGAGAUACGGCGCAGACGCAGACGGGAGGCAGGAGUGGGGAAUAUUGCACAAUGGGCGCAAGCCGGAUGCAGCGACGCCGCGUGAGGGAUGACGGACUUCGGGUUGUAAACCUCUUUCAGCACCGACGAAGCGCAAGUGACGGUAGGUGCAGAAGAAGGACCGGCCAACUACGUGCCAGCCGCCGCUGUAA
rnacentral:rRNA from 1 species